UAUAUAAUUAACAAAAUAAAUUAAUAUUUACAUAAAAAUAUGUAAUUUUAGUAAACAAACAAACAAACAAACCUUGUUUCGUCAUUUUCUCUUUUCAGCAUUUCACUGCUGCUCUAGCUUGUGUGCAAAUCAAGUUUCUAAUUAAAACUUGGCAUUGGGCACUGCAAAUAUUACUCUUAUAGAACAGAAUAGAAUAGAAUAGAAUUUAUUUCCGUUUGCACAGGUACAUUAUAGUAUAGGUAAACUGGAAUUCUUGUGGAUUUCUCAGGGUCAGUUUUUGUAGAAAAGGUAAAGGUAAAAAAAAAUAUCAAAAGUGAAAAAAAGCUUGUGCUGCACCUCAUUUGUAAGUCAAUUUGGAUAAAAGCUAUUAGAUAAUUAGUUAAAUAAAUAAAGGUAAACUGUCAUUAGUACAGUACUGGUUAUAACAAUAAGAAAACAAUAGCCUAAUGCUUGAUGUCUAAAAUAUAAAGGCUUAGACAGAGAAGACAUUUCUAUAAUUUGUCAUAAGACAAUUUGCACAGUCCAUCUUUAUAACUAUCAUGCAACCUGACACAGCUUUGGCAAUACAACUAUGCCAUUAUUUGUCAUGAAAUAAAGCAAUUUCUCCAGAAGCUAAUGCACGUCUCAUACCAAGACAAUCCAACCAGUCUAAAUGGGAGAGGCUUUUAAGAUGGCGAAGCUGAUGCAGAAUGCAGAGCUGUAUUAUAAAAAGAUAAACAUCACCAAAUGGCUCGUACCAUGUAAGGGGCAGCUGAAUAAUGGCUUGGAGCAAGAGAUCAUUUUAAAAGACAUCUGACAAGACAGAAGCCCCUGACCUCCUUUUGUAUCUACUCUAACUCUCCCAAGGAGCAAAAACAACCAACUACAGGCCACUGAGAAACACCAGAAAUAAUUAAUUAGACUACAAAGAAAAUCAGUGGAGGAAAUGACAGCUUUUCCUUGAUUUGACGCCAUUGUUCAUUGCUUUAGAUCUGUUACCAAUGCAGUGUACUUGCAGCAGGAGACAAAUGAUAAAUAUCAUCUUAAAGGCUUUAUAAAAGUACUAGAAAUUGGCUUAAAUCAACCGAUAUGCUGAAAAUAUAAAACCUCCAUCACAAAGUUUUUUGUCACUUCCAAUGAAUUGCACAUCUGGAUAUUGGAUAACCUUUAGUUCUUUAAUUAAAGUCAGACUUCAAUGUUGGCCAUCUAGUCAUAUUUGCCAAACUGCUGUUAAACAAACAUGUUAAACCGGGAAGCUUGUAAAUAUAAAGUCUGGGUUUGACCUGGAGGCGUUUAAACACAUCAAUAUCAUAAUCCAAAUCUGAAAUUCAAAAGCAAUUAUUUUUGGAAUAUUAUGAUCCAGUCUUUAAAACAACAAUGAUAAAAAUGAGCUGCUUUGAAAUAGUGAUCCUUAUCACAUUUCAUACAUUCUCCUGCUUUUUUGAUGCCAUCUUCGUAUGAAAAUGUCAAAUAAUCAUUCUCAAAAUAGUUGACCUAGUCUGCUUGGCACUUAAGCCUGUUUUUUCCCCAGGAAUCACUGCAAACUGUGCAAAAUGCCAGACAAAAAAGACAGAGAGAGGAAAAAGGCAUUAAAGAAAAUGGCUUACACUGCCCUUAAAAAGUCAAAGAAAGCUACAAAUAAUCUUUAGUUAAUGCUCUUCUAUCGUAAUCUAGAAAAACAACCAGAAAAUGGUUGGGCUGUGAUAUUACUGCAUAUAUUUUACUGUCUUUUCCCCAUAGUGAGUACUAGGGAUGCCACAAUACUCAAUAUAAUAUUGAACUGUUUGGUAUGACAUCCAUGGUUCAAUAUGCGCAUGUGAAUUGCAUUUAUUUUUCGGUCUUGCAUUUAAAUAAUUUCCUUUCAGAACAGACCAAGUCUAGAGAUAGCAUAAAGUUAUGUUAAAAUAAUUAUUUAUUGUUAUAAUUGUUCACCAAUCAUGCAACGAAUGAUUAGCAAAGAGUUGAUGUCAAUAUUAAUUUCAAUAUAUCAGUAGGCCUAUAUAAUUUAUACAGAGAGACAAUAAAAGUACUUAUUGAUGGUCAGGUAGAUGUAAGUGGUAACAUUUGCAUGUAUGCUAUUUGUUGUGUUUGUUUAAAGAACUUAGACUUUUGAGUUAUCUCUUGCAGAUUGGAAAUGACUGCAUGAAAAUCGUCUAUCAUCUCACAGGGCAAAGAGCUAUACACUGACAACUUGCAUGUCGUUGCCAAAAUCCCCCAGCCUACUCUGCAGUGAGCACUGAAUGCAUAAAUCAUACUAUUUGAAAUCUACCGUAAGUCAGAAGUAAAAUAAAAAGUAUUCUUUAUUGGUGUUAUUCAUGUGUUUUCAGGAUAAUGCUGACAUAAGGAUGCUUUUGUGUUUCCUGCAUGAACACAAGCCACCAGCCCAGAUCAUUAUCUGUUAUGUGUAAGAUUUUACAUGGUGUAGCUCAUAAGAAUAUAGUAAUUAUUAAACUUUGUGGGUUGGAGGGAUUGUUCUUUUAUGCUGGUUUUAUGGAGAGUGAUUUUACCCCAAUAUCAUAAGGCAAAGAUAAUGUAAAUGUGAAAUGUAUUGUCAUAACACUAUCUGUACUCCCUGGCCACAACCAUUGCCUAUGCAUCUCUAUAGGUACUGAAGCCACUAUUAUAGAGAUCCUCCUUCUAGACUCCUUGUAUAGUAAUCAAAGCUUGGUUUUGGAGAUGAAUAAGAACCGAAUACUAAUCCUGUAACAUUUCAAUUUCUGUUAGAUUGUCAUUCCUGCAAUAAGGGAGUGGUGGUGAGCAGUUUGAGACCGAGGGGUAUGUGUACUAGUUUCUGUACAUCUCUGUUGUUGUAUCAUUCUUGAAGUCCCUUCCUUGCCAACGGAAAUAACUGACCAAACUAAGGCAACACAGCACAGAUGAAAAAUGCAAUAAAUCAUCAUCAUAGUCAUAAGGCAUCAAUGCAUCAUGCCUUGUCAUUGCUUUCAUAAUCAACUCAGUUAAAUUCCCACAUGGCAAUACUCACAUUUCUAUUCUUGAUAACCUACAUUGAAACAAUUUAAAUUAAAUUAAAACAUUUUAAUUAUGAAUCUGCCUGCUUAUUGUCAGUAACUAGAGUUGUCCUAUUGGGGGGUCAGCAAAUUAUUAUUAUUUUCUUACUUUUGAAAAGCAAGGCAGUGGCCAAAAGAAUUCAAAAAGUGGCUUUACACUUUUUCCAAGCAUUCGGCCAAGACAGCCCCUGUGCCGGUAUACACUGAAGAUCAGGAGCAGAUUGAUGCAAUCCACUCUCACCUGACUUCAGUUCUGGACAGCACACCCACAGUGACCAGAUCAAAUUCAUUAUGGAUGUCCUUUUUCCAGAGUGAGUACGCCUGGGGUCUGACUCUAGCGAGCCAUUGACUGAGGGGACGGGCAGGGAGAACUAUUUAACAAAAUGAGGCCAUACAUCAAUCAAUAACCUCACCAAAAGCCAGCCAAAGGCCCUCUACAGGAAUGAAACAGCCCUGCUUUUAAGUAUAUUAAACAACUAACCUAAUAAUG